UGACGUUGUUGAAGGGCCGCGGUAUCCUGACCGUGCAAAGGUAGCAUAAUCAUUAGUUCUUUAAUUGUGAACUGGUAUGAAUGGUUUGACGAGGCAUUGACUGUCUUUGAUUUUAGAUUCAUUGAAUUUGUUGUUUGGGUAAAAAUACCUAGAUUUUUUUAUGGGACGAGAAGACCCUAUAGAGUUUUAUAUAAUGUGUCCUUUUUAGUUGGUUUUAUUUUGUGGACUUUUUAUGUUUUGUUGGGGUGAUGGGAAGAUAAGUGUAACUCUUCUUUUUUAUUUUCACUUAUUUGUGUUAUUUUGAUCCUUUAUUAUUGAUUAUAAGAUCAAAUUACCUUAGGGAUA
rnacentral:rRNA from 1 species